CUCCACCUCCUUCUGGUCCUCGGCGCCCGCCUCGGCGUCCUCCUGCAACAUCUGGGACACAGAAACUGGGAUUAACUGGGUUGGACUGGUUUGGACUGGUUUGGACUGGUUUGGACUGGUUUGGACUGGUUUGGGCAGGGGGCUCAUGCCCUGUUUCUUCAGCUCCUCCACCUCCUUCUGGUCCUCCUGCAACAUCUGCAAUGAGAAUU
rnacentral:lncRNA from 12 species